AGUGAACGCUGGCGGUAGGCCUAACACAUGCAAGUCGAACGGCAGCACAGUAAGAGCUUGCUCUUACGGGUGGCGAGUGGCGGACGGGUGAGGAAUACAUCGGAAUCUACUUUUUCGUGGGGGAUAACGUAGGGAAACUUACGCUAAUACCGCAUACGACCUACGGGUGAAAGCAGGGGAUAUUCGGACCUUGCGCGAUUGCAUGAGCCGAUGUCGGAUUAGCUAGUUGGGGGGGUAAAGGCCCACCAAGGCGACGGUCCGUAGCUGGCCUGAGAGGAGGGUCAGCCACACUGGAACUGAGACACGGUCCAGACUCCUACGGGAGGCACCAGUGGGGAAUAUUGGACAAGGGGCGCAAUCCUGAUCCAGCCAGACCGCUUGGGUGAAGAAGGCCUUCGGGUUGUAAAGCCCGUUUGUUGGGAAAGAAAAGCAGCAGGGUAAUACCCCGCUGUUCUGACGGUACCCAACGAAUAAGCACCGGCUAACUUCGUG
rnacentral:rRNA from 1 species